rnacentral:piRNA from 1 species
UAAUCGAAAUACCAAAGGGUACUGACCUC